AGUGAACGCUGGCGGUAGACCUAACACAUGCAAGUCGAACGGCAGCACAGUAAGAGCUUGCUCUUACGGGUGGCGAGUGGCGGACGGGUGAGGAAUACAUCGGAAUCUACUUUUUCGUGGGGGAUAACGUAGGGAAACUUACGCUAAUACCGCAUACGACCUACGGGUGAAAGCAGAGGAUCUUCGGACCUUGCGCGAUUGAAUGAGCCGAUGUCGGAUUAGCUAGUUGGCGGGGUAAAGGCCCACCAAGGCGACGAUCCGUAGCUGGUCUGAGAGGAUGAUCAGCCACACUGGAACUGAGACACGGUCCAGACUCCUACGGGAGGCAGCAGUGGGGAAUAUUGGACAAUGGGCGCAAGCCUGAUCCAGCCAUACCGCGUGGGUGAAGAAGGCCUUCGGGUUGUAAAGCCCUUUUGUUGGGAAAGAAAAGCAGCAGGUUAAUACCCCGCUGUUCUGACGGUACCCAAAGAAUAAGCACCGGCUAACUUCGUG
rnacentral:rRNA from 1 species